rnacentral:rRNA from 1 species
AACGUAGGAGGCAAGCGUUAUCCGGAUUCACUGGGCGUAAAGCGCGUGCAGGCGGUUCGGUAAGUUGGGCGUGAAAUCUCCUGGCUUAACUAGGAGAGGUCGUUCAAUACUACCGGACUUGAGAGUGGUAGAGGAAGAUGGAAUUCCCGGUGUAGUGGUGAAAUGCGUAGAUAUCGGGAGGAACACCAGUGGCGAAAGCGAUCUUCUGGACCAUUUCUGACGCUCAGACGCGAAAGCUAGGGUAGUAAACGGGAUUAGAGACCCCGGUAAUCCUAGCCGUAAACGAUGUAAACUUGGCGUCGGUGGCUUAAACUCCGUCGGUGCCGCAGCUAACGCGAUAAGUUUACCGCCUGGGGACUACGAUCGCAAGAUUAAA